ACUCAAAUGAAUUGACGGGGGCCCGCACAAGCGGUGGAGCAUGUGGUUUAAUUCGAUGCAACGCGAAGAACCUUACCUACUCUUGACAUCCUGCGAAUCUAGCUUAGCAGCUGGGGUGCCGAAAGGAACGCAGAGACAGGUGCUGCAUGGCUGUCGUCAGCUCGUGUUGUGAGAUGUUGGGUUAAGUCCCGUAACGAGCGCAACCCUUGUCCUUAGUUGCUAACGAGUUAAGUCGAGCACUCUAAGGAAACUGCCGGUGAUGAACCGGAGGAAGGCGGGGACGACGUCAAGUCAUCAUGGCCUUUAUGAGUAGGGCUACACACGUGCUACAAUGGGACGUACAGAGGGUAGCGAACCCGCGAGGGGAAGCCAAUCUCAAAAAGCGUCUCGUAGUCCGGAUUGGAGUCUGCAACUCGACUCCAUGAAGUUGGAAUCGCUAGUAAUCGCGAAUCAGCCAUGUCGCGGUGAAUACGUUCCCGGGCCUUGUACACACCGCCCGU
rnacentral:rRNA from 1 species